GACGAACGCUGGCGGCGUGCUUAACACAUGCAAGUCGAACGGAAAGGCCUCUUUCGGGGGGUACUCGAGUGGCGAACGGGUGAGUAACACGUGAGUAACCUGCCCUUGACUUUGGGAUAACUUCAGGAAACUGGGGCUAAUACCGGAUAGGAGCUCCUGCUGCAUGGUGGGGGUUGGAAAGUUUCGGCGGUUGGGGAUGGACUCGCGGCUUAUCAGCUUGUUGGUGGGGUAGUGGCCUACCAAGGCUUUGACGGGUAGCCGGCCUGAGAGGGUGACCAGCCACAUUGGGACUGAGAUACGGCCCAGACUCCUACGGGAGGCAGCAGUGGGGAAUAUUGCACAAUGGGUGGAAGCCUGAUGCAGCAACGCCGUGUGCGGGAUGACGGCCUUCGGGUUGUAAACCGCUUUCGCUCAUGACGAAGCUUUGUGUGACGGUAGUGGGUAAAGAAGCACCGGCUAACUACGU
rnacentral:rRNA from 1 species